rnacentral:rRNA from 1 species
UGAUGACGAGACGCUAAGGCGUUGAAGUGGUGUAUGUCAGACUUCCAAGAAAAGCUCGCAAUGUCAUAGAUAAAAAAUGCCUGUACCAUAACCGACACAGGUGGGUAGGUAGAGUAUACUAAGGGGCGCGAGAUAACUCUCUCUAAGGAACUCGGCAAAAUGACUCCGUAACUUCGGGAGAAGGAGUGCCUUAUUUAUAAGGCUGCAAUAACAAGAUCCAAGCAACUGUUUAUCAAAAACACAGGUCUCCGCUAAGUCGUAAGACGAUGUAUGGGGGCUGACGCCUGCCCAGUGCCAGAAGGUUAAAGAAGUUGGUUAGUGUAAGCGAAGCUGAUAACUGAAGCCCUGGUGAACGGCGGCCGUAACGAUAACGGUCCUAAGGUAGCGAAAUUCCUUGUCGGGUAAGUUCCGACCCGCACGAAAGGCGUAAUGAUUUGGAUACUGUCUCGGAGAGAGGCUCGGUGAAAUAGACUUGUCUGUGAAGAUGCGGACUACCUGCACCAGGACAGAAAGACCCUAUGAAGCUUUACUGUAACCUGAAAUUGGAAUUGGACUUUGCUUGCGCAGUAUAGGUGGGAAGCGUUGAAGAUACUCUUGCGGGACUAUUGGAGCUAUCAGUGAGAUACCACUCUUGUAAUGUUAGAUUUCUAACUUUGAACCAUAAUCUGGUCAAAGAACAGUUUCAGGCGGGCAGUUUGACUGGGGCGGUCGCCUCCUAAAUGGUAACGGAGGCGUACAAAGGUUUCCUCUGAACAGGUAGAAAUCGUAUCUAGAGUGUAAAGGCAUAAGGAAGCUUGACUGUGAGACCUACAAGUCGAGCAGGGACGAAAGUCGGUCUUAGUGAUCUGACGGUACUGAGUGGAAAGGCCGUCACUCAACGGAUAAAAGUUACUCUAGGGAUAACAGGCUGAUCUCCCCCAAGAGUUCACAUCGACGGGGAGGUUUGGCACCUCGAUGUCGGCUCAUCGCAUCCUGGGGCGGUAGUACGUCCCAAGGGUUGGGCUGUUCGCCCAUGAAACCGGUACGCGAGCUGGGUUCAGAACGUCGUGAGACAGUUCGGUCCAUAUCCGGUGUAGGCGUUAGAAUAUUGAGAGGAGCCUUCUUUAGUACGAGAGGACCGAGAAGGACACACCGCUGGAGUACCAGUUAUCGUGCCAACGGUAAACGCUGGGUAGCUAUGUGUGGAGAGGAUAACCGCUGAAAGCAUCUAAGUGGGAAGCCCACCUCAAGAUGAGUAUUCUCAC